rnacentral:rRNA from 1 species
ACCAGACUCCUACGGGAGGCAGCAGUGGGGAAUAUUGGGCAAUGGGCGCAAGCCUGACCCAGCAACGCCGCGUGAAGGAAGAAGGCUUUCGGGUUGUAAACUUCUUUUAAGAGGGAAGAGUAGAAGACGGUACCUCUUGAAUAAGCCACGGCUAACUACGUGCCAGCAGCCGCGGUAAUACGUAGGCGGCAAGCGUUGUCCGGAUUUACUGGGUGUAAAGGGCGUGUAGCCGGGCCGGCAAGUCAGAUGUGAAAUUCCAAGGCUCAACCUUGGAACUGCAUUUGAAACUGAUGGUCUUGAGUAUCGGAGAGGCAGGCGGAAUUCCUAGUGUAGCGGUGAAAUGCGUAGAUAUUAGGAGGAACACCAGUGGCGAAGGCGGCCUGCUGGACGACAACUGACGGUGAGGCGCGAAAGCGUGGGGAGCAAACAGGAUUAGAUACCCCCGUA